UUUAUUUAUGUUUCUAAUCAAAUUAAAAAAAUACACUAAAAUUAAUUUUAAUUAUUGUCAAAAUAUUUAAAUGAUCCAAACUAAUAAAACAUAUUUUAAAUUAAAUAGCCAUUUAAUUUAAAGACUGAAAAUAAUUUUUAAAAUUUAUUUUCUGACUAAAAGGAUCACUUUGAAAAUAUUCAAAAUUUACGGGGACCAAAUCAUAAUUUGUCUUGCAAAUUCAUCUUCUUCCUCGGAUGAACCCUAGCCGCCACCAAGAAACCAGCAGUCCGUCGGUCAUCCCGCUCCGCCGUCAUCCCGUCGCCCAGAAGAUGGCGCAACCAUUGCGCGUUUGCCGGGCGAUCAAACAGCACCAGCGAGCUUGCAAUUUCUGCAAAUCGCGAGGAGCCGAGAUCUAUCUUCGCCUUGAAGCCCCUGUCCAUCACACGCAAAACAGCCGGCGAUGACCAUCAGGCCGACUCCCGAGAAGGCGACGCCACCGACCAUUGCAUGGCGACAGCGCGUUGCCGAUGAGAGGAACGUGACAGUCGGCAACUCGAUCGCUGACAGAAUUCGUAAUGGAAAUCAGGAUCCAUCGUUCUCACCGGAUCACUCUGCCAGUCCCUUCUCCCGGCGACACCAUGCAACAGCCGCCCCGCCAGCCAUCCAUCGCCUGACAAGCACGCGUCGGUCGAGAGACCGGUUGUGCGCUUGCCACAAGAUGACCAGGUGAUGGCCGUGGGUGGCCCGCGAGUAACCGUGGGUUGUUGAGCGAUUCUGCACAUUUCAAAAACACCUCAAAAUAAUUUUGAUAAAACACUAUUUAG
rnacentral:lncRNA from 1 species